UCUCUGGCAGUCCAGUGGUUAGGACUCUGGACUUUCACUUCGGAGGGCCAGGGUUCAAUCACUGGUUGGGGAA
rnacentral:tRNA from 1 species